UCUGUAUCCAGUAGAAAGGAAAGGUAUAAGGACUUAGUUAUAUUGAGACUGUAAAUAGGUCUCCGGUUUAUUAGACAUUUGGUCUAAAUAUAUAUAGGGUUUUGGUAACCCAGGUUAGUAUCUAAGAUAGAUACAGGGUAUCUCAGGUAGAUACAGGUUUUGAGACUAUAAAGGAGUCUCCGGUUUAAGGACUAUAGGUGUUCUAGGGAACACGGUUUAUAGAUCUAGAAUAACCCAAACUUCUCGUUCCUUUGGUCACCCUGUGUCUGCUUUGUGUUUAUUUUGCUUGUUAAGUAGAGACACACUAUUGGUAAGUAGGUAGUGUCUCUACCCUGAGCCAGAAAUAUGGGAAAUAAUCAGUCUAUUUCUUACCCUUUACCCCACCCAGGGGAGUCAUGUCUAAAUUAUGUUACUAGAAUAGGAGCACAAGGAGGAUUUCUUACAAUCCCCUUUGUGUCAAAU